AGAGUUUGAUCCUGGCUCAGGAUGAACGCUGGCGGUCUGCUUAACACAUGCAAGUCGAACGGGUUUAUUUCUUUCGGGGAAUAAAUUAGUGGCGGACGGGUGAGUAACGCGCGAGAAUCUACCUUAAGGACGGAGAUAACAGAGGGAAACUUCUGCUAAUCCCCGAUGAGCCUGGAAACAGGUAAAAAGAUUUAUCGCCUUGAGAUGAGCUCGCGUCCGAUUAGCUAGUUGGUAAGGUAAGAGCUUACCAAGGCGACGAUCGGUAGCCGGUCUGAGAGGACAAUCGGCCACACUGGGACUGAGACACGGCCCAGACUCCUACGGGAGGCAGCAGUGGGGAAUAUUGCACAAUGAGGGAAACCUUGAUGCAGCCAUGCCGCGUGUGUGAAGAAGGCCCGAGGGUUGUAAAGCACUUUCAAUUGGGGGGAAGGUAGUAUCGCUAAUAUCGAUAUUGCUUGACGUUACCUUUAGAAGAAGCACCGGCUAACUCUGUGCCAGCAGCCGCGGUAAUACAGAGGGUGCAAGCGUUAUUCGGAAUUACUGGGCGUAAAGCGCGCGUAGGCGGACUGUUAAGUCGGUUGUGAAAGCCCUGGGCUCAACCUAGGAAUUGCAUCCGAUACUGGCAAUCUAGAGUUUAGGAGAGGGAAGUGGAAUUCCUGGUGUAGCAGUGAAAUGCGUAGAUAUCAGGAGGAACAUCAGU
rnacentral:rRNA from 1 species